CAGCAGCCGCGGGAAUACGGAGGAUCCAAGCGUUAUCCGGAAUCAUUGGGUUUAAAGGGUCCGUAGGCGGUCUUGUAAGUCAGUGGUGAAAGCCCAUCGCUCAACGGUGGAACGGCCAUUGAUACUGCAGGACUUGAAUUAUUGGGAAGUAACUAGAAUAUGUAGUGUAGCGGUGAAAUGCUUAGAGAUUACAUGGAAUACCAAUUGCGAAGGCAGGUUACUACCAAUUGAUUGACGCUGAUUGACGAAAGCGUGGGUAGCGAACAGGAUUAGAUACCCCCGUAGUCCCUGUCUCUUAUAC
rnacentral:rRNA from 1 species